GAGUUUGAUCCUGGUUCAGGAUGAACGCUGGCGGUAUGCUUUAUACAUGCAAGUCGUACGAGAGUUUUUAACUCAAGUGGCGGACGGGUGAGUAACACGUAAGAAAUUGCCUUUAGGAGGGGGAUAACAACUGGAAACGGUUGCUAAUACCCCAUAUGCUUUUGAGUGAAAUGGAUUUUUCCGCCUAAAGAGAAGCUUGCGGCUGAUUAGCUUGUUGGUAAGGUAAUGGCUUACCAAGGCGACGAUCAGUAUCUGGUUUGAGAGGACGAUCAGGCACACUGGAACUGAGACACGGUCCAGACUCCUACGGGAGGCAGCAGUAGGGAAUUUUCCGCAAUGGGCGAAAGCCUGACGGAGCAAUACCGCGUGAGGGAUGACGGCCUAUGGGUUGUAAACCUCUUUUUUCAGGGAGGAACAAAAUGACGUGUACCUGAAGAAUAAGCAUCGGCUAACUCCGUGCCAGCAGCCGCGGUAAGACGAGGAUGCAAGUGUUAUCCGGAUUCACUGGGCCGUAAAGCGUCUGUAGGUGGGUCAAGUAAGUCAACUGUU
rnacentral:rRNA from 1 species